GGGGAUGUAGCUCAGUGCUAGAGCACGUGCUGAGUAUGCAUGAGGUCCUAGGUUCCAUCCCCAGUACCUCCG
rnacentral:tRNA from 1 species